CUGAGACCUGAUGCCGAGCCGAUUGUGGUGAAGUGGAUGAUCCUAUGCUGUCGAGAAAAGCCUCUAGCGAGUUUCAUGGCGGCCCGUACCCUAAACCGACUCAGGUGGUCAGGUAGAGAAUACCGAGGCGUUCGGGUGAACUAUGGUUAAGGAACUCGGCAAAAUGCCCCCGUAACUUCGGGAGAAGGGGGGCCACAUCCGGUGAUCCGAUUUACUCGGUGAGCUGGGGGUGGCCGCAGAGACCAGCGAGAAGCGACUGUUUACUAAAAACACAGGUCCGUGCGAAGCCGUAAGGCGAUGUAUACGGACUGACGCCUGCCCGGUGCUGGAACGUUAAGGGGACCGGUUAGUCACAUUUCGGUGUGGCGAAGCUGAGAACUUAAGCGCCAGUAAACGGCGGUGGUAACUAUAACCAUCCUAAGGUAGCGAAAUUCCUUGUCGGGUAAGUUCCGACCUGCACGAAUGGCGUAACGACUUCUCGACUGUCUCAACCAUAGGCCCGGUGAAAUUGCACUACGAGUAAAGAUGCUCGUUUCGCGCAGCAGGACGGAAAGACCCCGGGACCUUUACUACAGUUUGAUAUUGGUGUUCGGUUCGGCUUGUGUAGGAUAGCUGGGAGAC
rnacentral:rRNA from 1 species